CCUACGGGGGGCAGCAGUGGGGAAUAUUGCACAAUGGGGGAAACCCUGAUGCAGCGACGCCGCGUGAGUGAAGAAGUAAUUCGUUAUGUAAAGCUCUAUCAGCAGGGAAGAAAAUGACGGUACCUGAGUAAGAAGCCCCGGCGAACUACGUGCCAGCAGCCGCGGUAAGACGUAGGGGGAAAGCGUUAUCCGGAUUUACUGGGUGUAAAGGGAGCGUAGACGGCAGUGCAAGUCUGGAGUGAAAGGCGGGGGCUCAACCCCCGGACUGCUCUGGAAACUGUACGGCCGGAGUGCAGGAGAGGUAAGUGGAAUUCCAAGUGUAGCGGUGAAAUGCGUAGAUAUUAGGAGGAACACCAGUGGCGAAGGCGGCUUACUGGACUGUAACUGACGUUGAGGCUCGAAAGCGUGGGGAGCAAACAGGAUUAGAUACCCGAGUAGUC
rnacentral:rRNA from 1 species